GCACAGAGUGAUGGAGGUCCAAUGAGGGGGUGAGUGGCCCCGGGGACUGUGAGGGCAAGAGGUGGGUGUGAGAGGUUGUCAUGGGGACUAACUCUUUAAAAGACUCCCCCUCACGCCCUCCUCCAUGCCUUUUCAUGUUGCACUUUCUUUUUCUUCGCAUCCUUGCUGUACAGACAGCGCAUCCUGUGAACCAGGAGGGAGCAGGGUGGAGACCAGGGCAGUGAUUGCCCUAUAGCCAUGAAGUAGCGAUACUGCUGGUCUCUUCUUAUCUUCACAGCUAAAAAUUAUACCAGAGGAGGAAAGCAAUUCCUUUGAAUAAUAAUCAACUGACUUGAAAUGCUGCCCAGCAGUCCCUUCACAGCUCUGCCCUUUGCCAUCUCACUUACCCCAACUUCCUGCCUUUGUUUACCUGUUCGUGCUAUCACCCUUUUGGAAAGGAUUUUUAAUUUUUAUAACUUUAGGACGCAGGAAGGUACAGCUCUUCCUCGACUUCAGAUGAGGUUAUGUACUGAUAAAUCCAUUGUAUGCCGAACAUAUUGAAAAUGCAUUUAAUACAUCUAAGCUCCCCAGAGUCGUACCUUAACCUUCCCUAACUUCAGCAUGCUCUGAACACUGUUAGCCCACAGUUGGGCAGAGUCAUCAAACACAAAGCCUGUUGGGUAAUGAAGUGUUGAAUAGCUCACAUAAUUGAUUGAAUAUGGUACUGAAAAUGAAAGACAGAAUGAUUGGGUGCAGAAUGGUUUUGUGUCUGUUCUUGGCCCCAGUGGUCACACUCUGCCCUGCCCAGCAUCACGGAAGACUGUGAGACCCACAUACACUAGCCUCAGAAAAGAGCGGAAUUGAAAAUCUGAAGUCCUGUUUCUACUGAGUGCAUGUUGCUUUCACAGUCUGGUAAAGUCAAGAGAUGUAAGUCAGGUGCGCACGCCUGUGCUUAGUCACUGAGUCACAUCAGACUCUUUGGGAUCAUAAACUGUAGCCUGCCAGGCUCCUAUCCAUGGGAUUUCCUGGCGAAAAUAUUGGAGGGGGUUGCCAUUCCCUUCUCCAGGGGAUCUUCCCGGCCCAGGGAUCAACUCCCAUCUCCUGCCCUGGUAGGCAGAUUUCUUUACCACUGAGCCAGCUUGUUCAGUCACUAAGUCGUGUCUGACUCUUUGCGAUCUCAUGGACUGCAGCCUGCCAGGCUGCCCUGUCCUUCACCACCUCCCGGAGUUUGCUCACACUUAUGUCCAGUGAGUCGGUAAUAACAUCCAAUAAGUCAGGGACCAUCUGUAAAUGGAAUGUGUGAAAAAUGCAGCUUCGUUUAAACAUUCGAAAAUUACCCUGAGAAUCGUUGCUUU
ensembl:lncRNA